UUUUCCGGUUGAUCCUGCCGGAGGUCACUGCUAUUGGAGUUCGGCUAAGCCAUGCGAGUCGAGAGGGUUUAGACCCUCGGCGUACGGCUCAAUAACACGUGGAUAAUCUGCCCUCGGGACGGGGAUAACCCCGGGAAACUGGGGAUAAUACCCGAUAGGUGAGAAGGUCUGGAAGGAUACCUCGCCCAAAUGCUCCGGCGCCCGAUGAUGAGUCUGCGGCCGAUUAGGUUGUUGGCGGUGUAACGGACCACCAAGCCAUAGAUCGGUACGGGCGUUGAGAGACGGAGCCCGGAGAUGGGGGCUGAGACACGGCCCCAGGCCCUACGGGGCGCAGCAGGCGCGAAAACUCCGCAAUUCGCGAAAGCGUGACGGGGGAACUCCAAGUGCUGCAGCGUAAGUUGUAGCUUUUGUUUAGCGUAAAUAACUAUUCGAAUAAGGGCUGGGUAAGACCGGUGCCAGCCGCCGCGGUAACACCGGCAGCUCGAGUGGUGACCAUUAUUAUUGGGCCUAAAGCGUUCGUAGCCGGUUCGGUAAGUCCUUGGGUAAAUCCUGGCGCUCAACGUCAGGAAUUCUAGGGAUACUGCCAGACUUGGGACCGAGAGAAGUCAGAGGUACUCCUGGGGUAGCGGUGAAAUGCUGUAAUCCUAGGGGGACCACCAGUGGCGAAGGCGUCUGACUAGAGCGGGUCCGACGGUGAGGAACGAAAGCCAGGGGCGCGAACGGGAUUAGAUACCCCGGUAGUCCUGGCCGUAAACGCUGUGGGCUAGGUGUUGCAUGCUCUACGGGGGCAUGCAGUGCCGAAGAGAAGUUGUUAAGCCUACCGCCUGGGAAGUACCAUCGCAAGGUGGAAACUUAAAGGAAUUGGCGGGGGAGCA
rnacentral:rRNA from 1 species